rnacentral:pre_miRNA from 1 species
UCUUAGGAAUGAACAAAGAAAGUAAUUUCCUGAGAUGGAAACUACUCCUGGUGAAGAUGCUGGGAA